AUUAUAAACAACUAAUAAAGCAUAAAAACUGUACAGCAUAUCGCACAGAAGAAAAAUAAAUAAUUAUGAUUGUUUAUGAACUCAUCGUGCAUCAUCAAUUAUAAAAGUUAAUCUUUCUUCACAACAUUUAAAAAGAGAAAAAAUACGGUAAAAAAUGGAUCUCAUUUGAUUACAAUGCGUAUAUGCUUCAAAAAAAAGAGUACUAUU